ACUUGAUCUCACUUUUGUGGUCUUUGCUUGGAGAAUCAGGGAUCAGAGACCUCCAUCAUGGCCACCGCUGACCAGCUGCUGAAGCAGCUGUUCUCCUUGAUCGAGCUGAAGGAGCUCUUUGCAGAGAACCUGACGACUCUGGCCCUGGAGAUGGAGUUGGAGCCACCCGGGACGAAACCCAAGAUGAGAAAUGUCUUAGCUCGUUUUUCCAGUGAGAUCACUGAAGUGAAGGCCAUAGAAAAGAAGCGCCACCAAAUAGAAACAAGAAUCCAGGAACUGUUCGAGCAACUGAAGACGGAGAGUUCCUCCACAGACCCGGAUGAAGUGGACCGACACAUUAUGGCUGAGGUUGUGAGAGCCAUGGCCAGACGAAGUGAAGUGGAUGAGCAAAUCAUCAUCCACAUGCUCAACCGUGUCCCCCGGUCUAAAACUGGACUCCUGAAAGGAGGAGACAAAGUUGUGGGAGGAGCUGUUGGACUGCCGUUUGAACUUCCUGAGGCGAUCGACAACUGGACAGACCUGAUCGAGAGGAAUCGCGUGACUCAAGCCAUCAAAUCAUUGAGAGAUACAGCUGACGCCAUUCUGAAGACCUGCCAGACGCUAGUUACUGAAAAAAAGAAGAUAAUUGAAGAGGAUCCAACUCAACGAGAACACGAGGAAAACAAGAGUUCAAAUCCAGCUCGGGACCAGAGUGGAAACCAGCAGACUUCUGCUGAAUCUCAAACAGAUCGGAGACACGAGGAUGAACAAGAAGGUGGAACAGGAAGUGAUCAGCACGGAGGAGGUGAUCAGGGAGAUAAGGAGACCGAUAGUGACGAUAAACACAGGGAUCCGGACUAUGAACUGAGUAAGGUCUAUAAGCGGAGUGAGGACCAUUUCGAUUUCAUCAUCUACAUCAUAUAUAAACUACAUUUUGAGAACAUUCAAAGACCUCCUGGAACAAUAAAAGUGGCACUGCUUAAUGUUCGCUCAAUGAAUAAAAAAGGAGGCCCAGAAAAGAUCUUAAAGCUCAUAACAAAAAAGAAAAUGGAUGUCUUACUCACAACAGAGACGUGGUUAAAAGAAAACAAUGCAGGCAAAGUCCUCUCAAAGGCUUCGCCACCAAAUUACAGUUCUCAUUAUCAGGUGAGGGUUGGUCAAAGGGGAGGAGGGGUAGCGAUUCAGUUCUCACCGGAGCUGCAGGGUGAAAACAUUCCUUUUGACUCUAUAACAAGCUUUGAAUGUGUUGUCACAGUUCUGCAUCAUGAUGAGUGGAACCAGCCGGUCCCAUUCAUCAACGUGUAUCACACCAGCCGGAAAAAAAAGGACUUCCUGAAUGAGUUUCCAAAUCUCUUGGUUUAUUUCAAAAACUACAACAGCAUCGUUGUGACCGGAGAUUUCAAUAUCCAUGUCAAUAAGACAACAAAGUUAAGCAAUGAGUUUUAUCAUAUUAUGCGGCUCCACAAACUCAAGCAGCACGUAAGUGGGCCGACACACGAGGCAGGUAACACUCUGGAUCUGGUCCUCACCAGAAAUGUUGAAGUCUCUGAUCUCGUUGUCAGGAACGACAGAAUAUCAGAUCAUUACACUGUAGAUUUCAAUGCAAGGCCAGUUUCCACAGAUAAGAGGGAGGAAACUAAGGAAAGAAAAGGAUCAAGAUGAACAGGCAAAACAAUUCAAAAGGAUGGAAGAUCUCCGUCAUCAAGAAGCACAGCGCUGGUGAGAGUGUCGCAGUCUGCCUUCCUCAUCACCUGUUCAACUCCCAACUGCCAUGUCAGUUCUUUUCCACUCUGCCAGCCAGCCACGCCUCCUCAUCAGCCACUCUGCUCACCUGUGCACACAAGCUGCUCCUGAUCACCAAUCAAACUGGCUCUUACUGGCAAACUGGCAUCCCGUCUCGUCUCUUCCCCGGAUAUCACCUCAGCCUUCUGUCUCCUCGGAAUUGGUUGGGUCGGGUGCCAAGAGACUGGGACCAGUCUCAGCACCAACGAGGAUGCACCAAGUCUAAACCACGGUUGCGUCCCAUCACAUAGUCCACCAAUCACAUUGCUUAAUGUAAAAAUGAUAUUGUAACCCUUGAUCACAACUCUUUUUGGGGCGAGGAAAGACAGAGUAACAGCACUCCGCUGACUGUGGCUUCUCAAUCCAACAAGAUCCUUGUACAAGUAUUAUUUUAAAUACAAUUCUAAAUAAACUUCUUAACUGAGAGAAGUUGUUUGUCUUAUGUGCUGAAGAUCAUUUUGAUACACAACAGUAAAAUGAUGUGUAUUUGUCAGGAAGCUAUAAAUAUAUUUAGUUUAAUGUGUCAGUUCUUUUUUUUUUUUUUUUUUUGGGGGGACUUUUUAUCGCCUCUAUUCGAUAGAGACAGCUGAAGAUAGACAGGAAAGGUGGGUAGAGAGAGAAAGAGAGAGAGAGUGGGGAUGACACGCAGCAAAGGGCCGCAGAUCGGAUUCGAACCCUGGGCUGCUGCAGCAACUCCAUACAGUACUUUAAGAAUAUGUGACAGUAGUGUGUAAUGAUAUUAAAUGAACUGUAUUGAACAUGGUAAUGGAAAUAUAAUCCACAGAGUUAUACAGUAAUUAAUAGAAUCACAAAUUCAAUCAGCUGCUCCACUCCUUUAAUUCCUUUAUCACAGCUCUUUAGACAAACUAACAAUAACAAUAUAAAGUCAUAUAAUGUAUAAUGUACUGCAUUAUAAGGUCAUUGUCAUGGGGAUGCCCCGCGACAUGUAACUUAAAUGAGACACACCAUAGAGUGCCUGUCCACCUCGGGCCAUUUACAUACCAUCUAGCUGACAGGUGUCUGGGGUUUAGUAAUUACUAGAUUCAGAUUCAGAUUCAUUCUUUAUUGUCCUCAGUGGAGGAAAUUUGUUUUCACAGUCUGUACAAAGAGCACCUUCAGUUCUACACACAAACUACACAUAUUACACAUAUACAGAAAAUAUACACAUAUCUACACAUAUAACACUGGAGUGACAUCGUUAAUCAGUCUGUGAAUUUAACGUUCGCUUAACUAUUUUUCGAAGCGUGCCUUUUUGUAGAGCAGCUGUCUGUAUCUACGGCCAGAUGGGAGAAGGGUGAAGCAUGAGUUGAGAGGAUGGCUGGGAUUGUGUACUAUGGUAGCUGCUCUAUGAGCAGUGGCAGUAUUAAUGAGGGCUGGUAGGUUGGGAGUGGGAAGACCUAUUAUUUUGGAGGAAGUGUUAGUGAUUUUAAGAAUAUUCCUGUUGGUGAGAGAACUUGGUGAAGUAGCAGGUAGCACAGUACAAGAGGAUGGGUUCAAUGAUACUACGGUACAGGAGAAGCAGUAGGUGUAGUUUGACUGAGAGUCCUGAGUUUACGUAUGACAAAAAGUCUUUGCUGACAGCGUCUGUGGAUGUCUGUGGAUGUCUGUGGAUGUUGUGAUCAAAACUCAGUUUAUUGUCUAUAGUGAUGCCAAGGUACCUGAAGCUGUCAACAAUCUCUACUGGUUGGCUGUUUAUAGAGAUGGGGCGGUGAGGAGUGGAGAGUGGCCAGCAGUGUUUCCCAUUAAUUACUUAGACUAUGGCGGCCCGCCAUGGUCUAAUUUGUCCCGCCACAGUCUCAGAAUGAACCGAAAAAAAUUCUUACACUUAUCAUAAUAACAUAAAAGAUCUGUAACUUGUGUUUCGCGCCACUGCUUCAGCAAAGCAUCUCUCACUCCCAGUCAGUCCACUCUGCCCCUCCCCCCAUUGCUGUACGCGGCGCGCGCACACUCAUACACACACACACACACACACACACACACACACUGGAAUAUAACGUUACCUGAUAGCAUCCAAGAUGUCAUGGCAUUUUAGGACACCACUUCGUUUGUGGUAAGUCAGGGCAGGUAGUUCACGUAGGGACAGCAGGGGAGACGGCCUCCCCUGAGGGAGGGACAGCAGGUGAGUUUAACAGCAGAGAAAGGGGCAGCAGGUUAGAGUAGUUUCAUAUAACUAUGUUGCUGAGAUGUGUGCCAAACAUUUAACCCAUUGCACUUACAUGAUAAACUGCAUAUUCUUCUUACCUAAAAGAGCAGUGUGCUCAAAAUAUUUUCAUUCAUUUGGCUAAUUGUAGUUACCUUCAUUUUCAGCGCAAAUCAGACCUUCGUAACAGGCUGCAAGGAGAGCACCUGGCUGGCUGCCUGCGGGUCUCCAUCAAUGGGCCGAGUCCAGAGGAGUUUAACUACCAAAGGGCAUUAGAACUGUUUUUUUCAAAGCCCAGGAAAAUUAAAUGUCCAAAUUCGGGGUGAAAAGUUUGCGAAUAGGGAUGUAGGGAGAGUUGUAGAAAUGUGUAUUUUGGAUGUUUUCUUUCCACUAGUCUGAAAGAAGACGCAAAAUGGCAAAAUAACGCAAAAUAACGCAAAAUAACGCAAAAUAACCCAAAAUGUUUUUGCCUGCCAUGUCUCCCCUUCAGGCUGCAACUAACGACGAAUUGAUGACGUACCUUCCGAAUCUAAUUUAUUUUUUACUACAAUUUAGCUUACAGUUUAAUUAUUUAUUUUUUUAUUUGCUAAAAAAUAAACUAGUUCAACACAGGUAACCACUUUUGCUUAAUUUCUUUGAUGGCUCAAAUGUAUGCUCUAGUUGAUUUUGUGUUUUCACCAUUCGUAUCUAUACAACCAAUGUAUUUAGAUUAAUUUGUUUACAAGAGCACACAGUUCUUCAUGGAUCUAGCCUCUUAAUUUUGCUUUCAAAGUGCACCAGAUUGAUGCAUUUAACUUUAAAAUGUAAAAAAAAAAAGUUCGGGUAAGCGUGCCCCCGGACCCUCCUAGAGUCCACCCACCAUAGUCUCAAAAAAUCCUUAGGGAAACUGUCCAGGUUGAGUUCCUUUGUCUUGGUGACAUUGAGGAGAAGGUGACUGUCUUUACACCAUUGGGUGAAGUGGGCAGUGGAUUGGUGAUAUGCUGUAACUGAUUCUGUGUUAGAGAGGAGGGCGAGUAUGACUGUGUCAUCAGAGUAUUUUAAGUAUUUUGUAAUGGGAGAGGGGCUAAGGCAGUCAUUGGUGUACAGAGUGUAGAGAAAGGGGCUGAAGACGCAGCCUUGGGGGGCUCCAGUGUUGACAGUAAUGGUGUUGGAUGUGAUGCUUCCCACCCUCACUGCCUGUGGUCUGUCACUGAGGAAAUUAUGGAUCCAGCGAAUGAGGAGUGGUGGCACAUGGAGGUGGUGGAGUUUAGUUAUCAUGGAUUGACAUUGAAUUGUGUUGAAGGCAGAGCUGAAGUCUACAAAGAGAAUGUACAAAGGAUGUGCCAGGUGUAGUAUAGAUGAGGGGGAGGUUUAUGAGGUGUUUGGGAGAUUUGUUGUUUUGAAUAGUUGGGAUCUAUUUUACUCUUUUGUUAUGUGUAGUGAGUUCUUUCUACUGUUGACCUAUAAAACUUAACUAUUGGGUAUUUAGAUAAAUUAAUGCUAAAGGUUAAUUGUUUUCUUAAUUGUUGCUUCCUGUGGUGGGAGGAGCUACCGCACAUAUAAGCAGGAGUUGAGGGUUCUCCAGGGGAGAAUACGUUUGAGGAUGUUGGUGAGCAGGACAAACAGUUUGUUAGCUGCCAGGGGCCCCAAGCUUAAAAGGGCCCGGAGCAGAGUUGAGGUUAUUUUUGAUACCUC
rnacentral:lncRNA from 15 species